CAACAGCAAAGCCAAAUGCCAUGGAUACAGAGUCAAAGAAGGGGCAGAAAGUCCAGACAGACAGCAAAUGGUUCAGUCACCCACUGAGAACUGCUGGAGACUAUCUUUGAUCAUGGAAGACAGAUAUGUUUCUGGCAAGAGCUUAGCUCUAAGAGCCCACACUAAUGAAUGACUUAAGAGGAGGUGAAGCCAUCACAUGGCAUGAGCUGCAAGGAUCAAAUGGGCCAAGG
rnacentral:lncRNA from 1 species